GGGUUGUGAGGUUAAGCGACUAAGCGUACACGGUGGAUGCCCUGGCAGUCAGAGGCGAUGAAGGACGUGCUAAUCUGCGAUAAGCGUCGGUAAGGUGAUAUGAACCGUUAUAACCGGCGAUUUCCGAAUGGGGAAACCCAGUGUGUUUCGACACACUAUCAUUAACUGAAUCCAUAGGUUAAUGAGGCGAACCGGGGGAACUGAAACAUCUAAGUACCCCGAGGAAAAGAAAUCAACCGAGAUUCCCCCAGUAGCGGCGAGCGAACGGGGAGCAGCCCAGAGCCUGAAUCAGUGUGUGUGUUAGUGGAAGCGUCUGGAAAGGCGCGCGAUACAGGGUGACAGCCCCGUACACAAAAAUGCACAUGCUGUGAGCUCGAUGAGUAGGGCGGGACACGUGGUAUCCUGUCUGAAUAUGGGGGGACCAUCCUCCAAGGCUAAAUACUCCUGACUGACCGAUAGUGAACCAGUACCGUGAGGGAAAGGCGAAAAGAACCCCGGCGAGGGGAGUGAAAAAGAACCUGAAACCGUGUACGUACAAGCAGUGGGAGCACGCUUAGGCGUGUGACUGCGUACCUUUUGUAUAAUGGGUCAGCGACUUAUAUUCUGUAGCAAGGUUAACCGAAUAGGGGAGCCGAAGGGAAACCGAGUCUUAACUGGGCGUUAAGUUGCAGGGUAUAGACCCGAAACCCGGUGAUCUAGCCAUGGGCAGGUUGAAGGUUGGGUAACACUAACUGGAGGACCGAACCGACUAAUGUUGAAAAAUUAGCGGAUGACUUGUGGCUGGGGGUGAAAGGCCAAUCAAACCGGGAGAUAGCUGGUUCUCCCCGAAAGCUAUUUAGGUAGCGCCUCGUGAAUUCAUCUCCGGGGGUAGAGCACUGUUUCGGCAAGGGGGUCAUCCCGACUUACCAACCCGAUGCAAACUGCGAAUACCGGAGAAUGUUAUCACGGGAGACACACGGCGGGUGCUAACGUCCGUCGUGAAGAGGGAAACAACCCAGACCGCCAGCUAAGGUCCCAAAGUCAUGGUUAAGUGGGAAACGAUGUGGGAAGGCCCAGACAGCCAGGAUGUUGGCUUAGAAGCAGCCAUCAUUUAAAGAAAGCGUAAUAGCUCACUGGUCGAGUCGGCCUGCGCGGAAGAUGUAACGGGGCUAAACCAUGCACCGAAGCUGCGGCAGCGACGCUGAUGCGUUGUUGGGUAGGGGAGCGUUCUGUAAGCCUGCGAAGGUGUGCUGUGAGGCAUGCUGGAGGUAUCAGAAGUGCGAAUGCUGACAUAAGUAACGAUAAAGCGGGUGAAAAGCCCGCUCGCCGGAAGACCAAGGGUUCCUGUCCAACGUUAAUCGGGGCAGGGUGAGUCGACCCCUAAGGCGAGGCCGAAAGGCGUAGUCGAUGGGAAACAGGUUAAUAUUCCUGUACUUGGUGUUACUGCGAAGGGGGGACGGAGAAGGCUAUGUUGGCCGGGCGACGGUUGUCCCGGUUUAAGCGUGUAGGCUGGUUUUCCAGGCAAAUCCGGAAAAUCAAGGCUGAGGCGUGAUGACGAGGCACUACGGUGCUGAAGCAACAAAUGCCCUGCUUCCAGGAAAAGCCUCUAAGCAUCAGGUAACAUCAAAUCGUACCCCAAACCGACACAGGUGGUCAGGUAGAGAAUACCAAGGCGCUUGAGAGAACUCGGGUGAAGGAACUAGGCAAAAUGGUGCCGUAACUUCGGGAGAAGGCACGCUGAUAUGUAGGUGAAGUCCCUCGCGGAUGGAGCUGAAAUCAGUCGAAGAUACCAGCUGGCUGCAACUGUUUAUUAAAAACACAGCACUGUGCAAACACGAAAGUGGACGUAUACGGUGUGACGCCUGCCCGGUGCCGGAAGGUUAAUUGAUGGGGUUAGCCGCAAGGCGAAGCUCUUGAUCGAAGCCCCGGUAAACGGCGGCCGUAACUAUAACGGUCCUAAGGUAGCGAAAUUCCUUGUCGGGUAAGUUCCGACCUGCACGAAUGGCGUAAUGAUGGCCAGGCUGUCUCCACCCGAGACUCAGUGAAAUUGAACUCGCUGUGAAGAUGCAGUGUACCCGCGGCAAGACGGAAAGACCCCGUGAACCUUUACUAUAGCUUGACACUGAACAUUGAGCCUUGAUGUGUAGGAUAGGUGGGAGGCUUUGAAGUGUGGACGCCAGUCUGCAUGGAGCCGACCUUGAAAUACCACCCUUUAAUGUUUGAUGUUCUAACGUUGACCCGUAAUCCGGGUUGCGGACAGUGUCUGGUGGGUAGUUUGACUGGGGCGGUCUCCUCCUAAAGAGUAACGGAGGAGCACGAAGGUUGGCUAAUCCUGGUCGGACAUCAGGAGGUUAGUGCAAUGGCAUAAGCCAGCUUGACUGCGAGCGUGACGGCGCGAGCAGGUGCGAAAGCAGGUCAUAGUGAUCCGGUGGUUCUGAAUGGAAGGGCCAUCGCUCAACGGAUAAAAGGUACUCCGGGGAUAACAGGCUGAUACCGCCCAAGAGUUCAUAUCGACGGCGGUGUUUGGCACCUCGAUGUCGGCUCAUCACAUCCUGGGGCUGAAGUAGGUCCCAAGGGUAUGGCUGUUCGCCAUUUAAAGUGGUACGCGAGCUGGGUUUAGAACGUCGUGAGACAGUUCGGUCCCUAUCUGCCGUGGGCGCUGGAGAACUGAGGGGGGCUGCUCCUAGUACGAGAGGACCGGAGUGGACGCAUCACUGGUGUUCGGGUUGUCAUGCCAAUGGCACUGCCCGGUAGCUAAAUGCGGAAGAGAUAAGUGCUGAAAGCAUCUAAGCACGAAACUUGCCCCGAGAUGAGUUCUCCCUGACCCCUUGAGAGUCCUGAAGGCACGUUGAAGACGAAGAAGUUGAUAGGCCGGGUGUGUAAGCGCAGCGAUGCGUUGAGCUAACCGGUACUAAUGAACCGUGAGGCUUAACCUUACAAAGCCGAAGGUGUU
rnacentral:rRNA from 1 species